CCAGUAGCUCAGAAGCAGAGCAUCUGCCUUGCAUGCAGAAGGUCUUGGGUUCAAUCCCUGGGUGGGGGA